UGCUUAUUCUUCCAUUGUCGCUGCUGAGA
rnacentral:piRNA from 1 species